rnacentral:lncRNA from 1 species
AGGGAGUUAGCUUCUAAUUAAUCAAUUUCUCACCUAAAAUUUCUGGUCCUGAUAUACAUAGACUUUGAUAAUUAAUAUAUAAACUUACCAAUAUUAGUGCAUCCAAGGCUGUUUUUGCAACAUUGCUACAAUUAAGUAAUAAGGUCACCCAAAUAGCAUGAAGCAUGACUAUUGAAAUUUGACUUUCACAAGAAAAUUUGGCCACUGACUCUAACUUUCAUCACAAAUUUGUAGGUAUUUUUCAUUCAUGAACAUCAAUAAGCCCA